UACGAGGGGGGCAAGCGUUGUUCGGAAUUAUUGGGCGUAAAGGGCGCGUAGGCGGUUUUACAAGUCUGAUGUGAAAUCUAUGGGCUCAACCCAUAGCCUGCAUUAGAAACUGUCGGGCUUGAGUAUGGGAGAGGUGAGUGGAAUUUCCGGUGUAGCGGUGAAAUGCGUAGAUAUCGGAAGGAACACCUGUGGCGAAAGCGGCUCACUGGACCAUAACUGACGCUGAGGCGCGAAAGCUAGGGGAGCAAACAGG
rnacentral:rRNA from 1 species